GCUAGGGUUGGCUUCCUUUCUCACUCUGAGCCAUUAUUCCUUUGUCCGCUUCCCUGGGUUCUGCUCCCCACAUCUCUACCCUGGAGAUAGGCCAGAACAGAGGCUGAGCUUCCAAAGUACUAGAGUAUGCCAUCCCCGGGAGUAAAGGGUGCACGGGAGCGGGCCAAAAAGAGUGAACCAGGAGCUGGAGCGGGCAAGAAAGGCAUGAAGGGCCCGUGGACUACAGAGCCUCCGAAGCCAGGCUGGGCUUUGACUCAGGAGAGGCUGGCGGCCAUGCUCCCCAAACAACGCCACCGCCACCUGCUCUUUGGAGACCUGCUCGACGACGCAGGCGCGGCCGCCUCCAUCUUUCCACGCGAGUCAGUGGAGAUACCCUACUGCAUGCCCGACCCACGCAUCUGGACGCAGGCAUUUGAACCACCAGCUGAGCGUCAGAAUAGGCUUCUGGGCGUUCUCAAGGCCGCAGAAGCCCGCGGCCGAGUCCGGGCGCUGAGGUUGCGCUACACCCGAAUGCGGGCAGAGGAAAUCGCUCUCCUGAUCCAGAAGCAGGGCUCUGCACGCGCCGCCAUCCGGCUAGAACUGUUCCUACCACCCCAACUGAAGCCCACGAAGAUCCCCGAUCCCCUGGGCCGUCAAGAGAAUACCACCAUGCCAAUAUGGAUAUCCUCAAGAGAUGUGCAUCCACCAACAGACCAAGAGACAUUGCUCAAAGAAGAAGUUUCAGAGGGGUUCACCAACAGAAGGCAGCCACAAAGGCGACCCUACAGGUUUUAUUGGCUCUCAGACACCUAGAUCAAAGUCCUCCGAGAGAUAAGGCAUGCAUGGCUCACUGAGAUACAGAAGGCUACUGCCUAAAGCCCACCACCCAGACAUCUCUCCAGGAUUGAUGCUCUUCGAGGGCUGGUAGUCAAUGACAGAGAUACCUAAGAUUGCUGCAGUGUCCCACACAGUGAGUAAUUCAUAUAAGUACUUCAGAGCAGAGGACUGAGAACAAAGACCAACAUCCUGAGAAGGCCAGCAAACGAUGGCACAAGAGCUCUACACCAAGUAUCAGACCAGCUUAAGCGUGCCACUUGAUCUCCACAUCAGUGAGGGAUUGGGUUUACAGAGAGGGCUAAGGAAGGUGGCAUAGGAUCCCUUUGUCUGAAGAAAAUCCUACAGGGAUACAAAGCCUGUGGCACAUGCACAAUUAAGUGG